UGUAUUCACUACUGUAAGUCACUCAGGAUAAGAGUGUCUGCUAAAUGACUAAAA
rfam:Salmo salar isolate Sally breed double haploid chromosome ssa03, whole genome shotgun sequence.